UACGAAGGGGGCUAGCGUUGUUCGGAAUCACUGGGCGUAAAGGGUGCGUAGAUGGCCUGAUAAGUUAGCAGUGGGAAAUCGAGGCUCAACCUCGUGGAAGCUGGUAAUACUGUCAGGCUCGAGUGCAGGAGAGGUUAACGGAACUCCAUGUGGAGCGGUAAAAUGUGUAGAUAUAUGGAAGAACACCAAUAACGGCGAAGGCAGUUAACUAUUCUGUUACUGACAUUGAGGCACGAAAGCGUGGGGAGCAAAACGG
rnacentral:rRNA from 1 species